CCUAAAGUAAAUGAGCUUUAACCAUAUACUUGUAUAACGUAAAAAUUUUAUAUACACUCAUAGGAUUAGAGGAACUUUUAAAUUUUAUUUAGUUUCUCUUGUUAUUCUAACUCUUAUUUAGAAUUUUAAAACAAUUUAAUAUUUUUAUUAAAUAUAAAAUAUUAAAAUUCUAAAUGCUUACGUCCGAACGCCUAGCCUCAUAAGGAGAAAACCCCUCGCCUUGCACAAUUGCCUUUAAAAACAUUGAUUGGUAGUGGUGGGGUGUGGCGGAGAUGGAUAUGAGUGUUGGUGUUGGUAGAGGAAGUGGUGGAGAGAGAGACAAAAGUAUAUUUAUUUUUUAUUUGUUACUUUAUGCGUAAACAUGUUAGGGCUUUAUUGGUCAUUUCACUUCACUUGCUUUUUAAACUCUGUUAAGUGGUAAGGAGAAUCUGAGAGUUAGACUAUAUUUGAUCAAAAUCUCAGGGUGCAAUUUGUAAUUUAAGUUGGUGGAGUAGGUGAGGCUAGGUGGGUAAUGAUUAUGUGUCAUCAAUUUAUUAGUUAGUUAUCUAGUGCAAAGUUUAUAUACGUUCACUAGCUAAGUAUUAUAUAGCAAACUAAAUUGGGUUCCAUACUUUUCAUGGUAAUACUAGACCUGUUACCGUCAAAGCCCCCAUCGUUUGGCAAAUUUUUCCUGAUUUAUAUUCAUUCUCUGAUUUCUUUGGCAAGAAUCGAAUACCAUUGGAUACGUUAUCCGAUUUCUCUACAAGAUCGAAUGCGAUCGGAUCCGGAGAACAUGACGUGAGGAGUCUUAUUUCUUUCUUUGUCUUGUUUUAUGUAUAAUAAUGACUUGAUAUCGAUGUGGAUCUACUCUUUUUUCACUAAUUAAACAAUUUGUUCCAUCAGGUUGCUUACAAAAUCACUUACGACUUCAAAUUUGGGAUCCUUUGUGUCUUGAAUUGAUUCAAUUAUAAAUAAGGUGGGUGAUUAAAAAAAUGAAGUCAUACUAAAUUUUCUAUAUUUUUAUUUAUCUUUGUAGUUUCUAGCCUUAGUGUUUUUUUUUUCUAGCUAUUUAUGCCUUCAUGAAGUGUCUUAGUUUUAGAGAUGUUUCAAUUUGCUAUCUAUUCUAGUUUUUUUCGUUCAGGUGAGUAGAGUAACUAAAGUAUUUUAAAAACAAUUAAUUAAUUUUCUUAUUAUUGACCCCGGGAUACAUCCUUUCAUACUCCAAAGCAUAUGAAACCGCUUGAACGUGGGGCAAAAUCUAAACUGUUGUUGUUUGAAUCCUGAAGUGCAUGAAAAUAAGAUAAUCUAAAUUCGAGGGCCAAAGAGUUUUAUAAAAUGGUGUAAAAAAACGUGAACGAAAGGUCCUACUAAAUCUAACUGAAAUUGGAUCCAUGAAUCUAACAAAAAGUAAAAAUUCUUGAUCUCUUUCAAUUUUAAAAUCCAAAUGUGCAAUCGCUGUCCCUUCAUAUUCCUUCCUCCUAAAUUUAAAAAAAAAUAAAAAUGAAUUGGCAUUGAUUUAUGCUACAGAUUUUAUUCAAUUGAAAUUUGUUAUUCACAGGUCAGAGAUUAUGUCUUGUGUUUGUUUUUUUAAUAUUUUUUAAAUGCUGUCUAAAUUUGUUUCAUUUUUGUUCAAGGUGACUAGGGCCAACGAGAAAGUUGACUAAAAGUCAUCGUCUUUAAACCUUUUGUCUCAUAAAGUUUUUAAUUCACUAUUUUUUUAACAUUUUCAUUCAACUUAUCUGGAUCUCAAUAUUCUGUCACAACUAUAACCAAGAACUAAGAAGAUCAUUAACUGCUCAGGUGCUUCAUAAUUAUUCAGAAGUCCUGCCCGAAAUCCUAGUUUUGCAAGCCUUCAUAUUUAUUAUCCUCACUACUUUCUGCAAGAUACCAUUGGAAAAUUCUAUGUGUUUUUUUUCUUGUUAUAUUUUGUGUUAUCUUUUUAGCUCAUCAAAAUAAUGUUACUUUGUUGUGUGAUGUCUUCAAGGACUUCCAUUUACAAGGUGGGAUGUAUUAAAAGGAAAAGUAAAACAAAAAAUUGAUAAGAAAUUAAAAAGAAUUCACGAGAAGCAACAAGACACCAAGGUGCAAAACCAACGCAAAGGUCGACUCAAAGUUGGACAAUUUGCCCUCUUAAUGGACACUGUCCAUCCCAUUUGGUUUGAACAUUUUUUUUGGGAUGUAUUAAAAUAUUUGUUCAUUUUUAAAAGUUAAUAACGAGAAAAAUAUUGUAGAUGUUUUUUUUACUAUUUCAGUUUUAAGUUGAUGUGAUAAUUAUACUUUUCACUUGUAGGUAAUUUUAUAUUGAUG
rnacentral:lncRNA from 1 species